GCCCGUCUAGUUCAAUGGAUAGAGCACGAGGCUACGAACCUCGGAAUCCGGGUUCGAAUCCUGGGACGGGUA
rnacentral:tRNA from 1 species